rnacentral:rRNA from 1 species
UACGUAGGGUGCGAGCGUUAUUCGGAAUUACUGGGUGUAAAGCGUGCGCAGGCGGCUUGUUAAGACAGGUGUGAAAUGUCGGGGCUCAACCUGGGCAUGGCGUUCGAUACUGGCAGUCUGGAGUGCUGAAGAGGGAGGUAGAAUUAGUGGUGUAGCAGUGAAAUGCGUAGAGAUGUGGCAGAAUACCGAUGGCGAAGGCAGGUUGCUGGGGAUGUGCUGACGCUCAUGCACGAAAGCGUGGGGAGCAAACAGG